GUGCUGCUUCAGCAGCACAGAUACUAAAAUUGGAGCCCAACAGAGAAGAUUAGCAUGGCCCCUGCACAAGGAGACACGCAAACUGGUGAAGCCUUCCGUAGUUUU
ensembl:snRNA U6 U6 spliceosomal RNA